UCCCGCUCCCCUCCCGGUCCCGCUCCCCAUGCCGGCCCCGAUUGCGGUUCCCCCCUCGCUCCCUCUCACCAUCCUGCCGGCAGUUGCCGUGGCAACGCGCGGCGCCGCCGGCCUCCAGGGCGCGGUUUCACUUCCGGGGAAUCGCCUCCGCUGAUUGGCCAAGAUGGUGAGCCGACCCCGACACGUGACCCAGGGUGGGCGGGUCCAGGGCCGCGUGACGUCACCGCGAGGGGGACUUUGAAAGAUGAUAUUUAAAAGCAUUUCUUGAAUCGUGACUUGUAAUUAAUGCAUUCGACUCACCUCCAAACACAAACCCCAGGUGGCAGCGUUUAAUUAAAAUUUUCUCUCCUUCACAGCUAUGACGAUGAAUCUCUAGCAGGUAUGGGAGAUACAGGCGCAGGGCGGAACACAAUAGCCAGAACAUGAACAUCACCAAAACAGAUGAUUCUGGCAGCAAAUAUCCACCUUGCCUGGUUCCAAGGCUGGCUUAGCAAGUCAUGGCAAAGCAUCCUGUUACUCUGCACACAGCCUAGAAUGGCAAAGGCCUGAUCUAAGGUGUAGAAGGGAGUCCCCCUGUGCAAAUCCUUCUUUGGAUACCUUGAGCCUGAGUCCUUGUAGCAGUUUGUCCUCAACCGAAAGCAACAAAACAACCAACAAUAAUAAUCAGUGUGCCUUCAAAGUGGGAUGUGAAAAGGAAGACAAAGUGAGAUGUAUCUUAAAUAACAGGUAAUUCUAAAUAGCCAGUAGCUUUGGAUGUAGAAGAUCCACCUGAUCUGCACUGCACUGAUUACACCUGUCUGAAUGCAGUGCUGCCUUAGGUCUGCCUGAAAAUGACCAAAGUGACUAUUUUCCUACACAGUAUAUCUUUAAAAUUCAUUAUUAGAAGACACUAAAAUACACUCUAGGCUUUGGCUUAAUUUAAGAGUUAGCUGUACCCUGCUCUUCCUUUAACAGAAGUGCCUUGUUUCCCUGGACAAGUUUCUGUGUGACUCACCAUUUCCACAACCUCAGCCUCACAUUCAUGAAUGUACCAAGGCUAUUGAAUAUUUAUCAGAUUUUGGACUUUUUUUUUUUUCCAUG
rnacentral:lncRNA from 1 species